rnacentral:rRNA from 1 species
GAUGAACGCUGGCGGCGUGCCUAAUACAUGCAAGUCGAGCGAACGGACGAGAAGCUUGCUUUUCUGAUGUUAGCGGCGGACGGGUGAGUAACACGUGGAUAACCUACCUAUAAGACUGGGAUAACUUCGGGAAACCGGAGCUACUACCGGAUAAUAUUUUGAACCGCAUGGUUCAAAAGUGAAAGACGGUUUUGCUGUCACUUAUAGAUGGAUCCGCGCUGCAUUAGCUAGUUGGUAAGGUAACGGCUAACCAAGGCAACGAUGCAUAGCCGACCUGAGAGGGUGAUCGGCCACACUGGAACUGAGACACGGUCCAGACUCCUACGGGAGGCAGCAGUAGGGAAUCUUCCGCAAUGGGCGAAAGCCUGACGGAGCAACGCCGCGUGAGUGAUGAAGGUCUUCGGAUCGUAAAACUCUGUUAUUAGGGAAGAACAUAUGUGUAAGUAACUGUGCACAUCUUGACGGUACCUAAUCAGAAAGCCACGGCUAACUACGUG